rnacentral:rRNA from 1 species
UACGUAGGGGGCUAGCGUUGUCCGGAAUCAUUGGGCGUAAAGCGCGCGUAGGCGGCCCGGUAAGUCCGCUGUGAAAGUCAAAGGCUCAACCUUUGAAUGUCAGCGGAUACUGCCGGGCUAGAGUCCGGAAGAGGCGAGUGGAACUCCUGGUGUAGCGGUGGAAUGCGCAGAUAUCAGGAGGAACACCAAUAGCGAAGGCAGCUCGCUGGGACGGUACUGACGCUGAGGUGCGAAAGCGUGGGGAGCAAACAGG